UGUGGUGCUGCCUGCUUUCCACAGCCACAGCAACCAGGGCUUGACUCUCAUUUCUAACUUGUGAAUUCUUGCCCAUUGAUGUUAUAACUGUGAUUUUCUUUCAUCUCCGAACACGCAGUUUGAGAAUGAUUAUCAGUUUUCCUCCUGAAGGUAUUCCUGAGCUGACAGAAGGACUAAAAUAGAAAAUGAAUUCACAGUGGAACAAGAGAGUGAAAUAACUUCUCUUUGGAUUGCUGUGCUGCAAAAGCUGCGUGUGCGGUUAACACACACAAAAUGCUGGAAGAACUCAACAGACCAGGCAACAUCAAUGGAAAGGAGUAAACAGUUGAAGUUUCAGGCUGAGACCCUUCAUCAGAACUGGAGAAUAAAAGAUGAGAAGUCAGAGUACAAAGGAGGAAGAAAUACAAGGUAGGUAAUAGGUGAAACCGGGAAAGGGGGGGUGGCAUGAAGUAAAUAGUUGGGACGUUGAUUGGUGAAAGAGAAAGGGCUGGAGAAGGGGGAAUCUGAUACGGGAGGACUGAAGGCCAUGGAAGAAAGAGAAGGGGAAGGAGCACCGGAGGGAGGUGAUAGACAAAAGGGUGAUAAGGUGAGAAAGGGAAAUGGGACUGGGGAAUAUGGGGAAUGGUGAAGGAAGGUGGGGGGAGGGGGUUUAGGAGGGAUGCCACUUCCAGAAGUUCGAGAAAUUGAUGUUCAUGCCAUCAGGUUGGAGGCUACCCAGAUGGAUAACAAGGUGUUGCUCCUCCAAGCUAAGUGUGGCCACAUCACUGCAAUAGAGGCCAUAACUGACAUGUCGGAAUGGGAAUGGGAAGUGGAAUUAAAAUGUGUGGCUACCAGGAGAUCCCACUUUUUCUGGUGGUCAGAACAUAGGUGCUCAGCAAAGUCACUUCUCACCGAUAUACAGGAGGCCACACCGGAUACAGUAAAUGAUCCCAACAAACUCACAGGUGAAGUGUAGCCUCACCUGGAAGGACUUUUUAAGGCCCUGAAUGGUGGUGAGGGAGGUGGUAUAGGAGCAGCUGUAGCACUUGUUCUGCUUGUAAAAAUAAGUGGGGAGGGACGAAUGGACAAGGGAGGAAUUUCAGUUACCACACGGCCGCCUAUCUGCACAGCUGAGAGAGAACAAUCCCCUCCUCUCCUGAAGUUUAAUCUUAUCCACAUCUAUCUGAAAACUUAGAUAUAAUCCCUAUUUCCAAGGUGCUCUCCCACUGAAACUCCAAUCACCUGACCAAGCUCAUUUUUCCAAACCAGAGUCCCUUCUCUGGUUGGAUUAUCUAAGCACAAUCAUAGUUGCAGUUAAGCUCCAUCCAUUAUACAACAGAAUGUUUAGUUUCAAUGAGUAUUUGAUUUGCAUCAACUGGUUAUUCACAUUCCCUAAAGGUUAGCUUGCAGGUUGAGUUGGUGGUAAGGAAGACAAAUACAAUGUUAGCAUUCACUUCAAUAGGACCAGAAUAUAAAAAUAAGGGGGUAAUGCUAUAUAAGGCAGUGGUCAAACCGCAUUUGGAGUAUCAUGAACAGUUUUGGGCCUCUUAUCCAAGAAUGGAUGUGCUGGCAUUGGAGAGGGUUCAGAGGCGGUUCACAAGAAUGAUCCUAGGAAUGAAAGGGUUAAUGUGUGAGGAGUGUUUGAUGCUGGAGUUUAGAAGAAUGAGGGAGGAAUCUCAUCAAAACCUUUCAAAUAUUGAAAGGUCUAGAUGGAGUGGACGUGGAGAGCAUAUUUCCUACAAUGUGGGAAGUCUAUGGCCAGAGGGCACACACUCAGAAAAGGAGGCCAUUCCUUUAGAACAGAAACGAGGAGAAAUUUCUUCAGCCAGAUGAACCUGCGGAAUUUCCUGCCAUUGCAUUGGCCUGCUGUGACUGUAAGCAAAUUGGAGCGGAUCCAAGUCACUCCUCAGACAGGAGUUGAUAUGUUUCAUGACCAACCUCUCAAAGCACUUCUUCGCUGUGGAUACUGGACAAUA